rnacentral:tRNA from 1 species
AAGGAUUUAAGUUAAAAAAACUAACAGCCUUCAAAGCUGUCAUUAGAGUUAGGCCUCUAAGCCUUA